GCAACUCACUUUUCCCCAAACUCAUACAUAUGGAAUAUCGAUGAGAGUAUAUGAGCCGAACAUCCUGAGAGCAGAGAAGGGAGAAGAACGGGAGAAGAGAGGGAAAGGCCUGGUCUACGAGAAAACGGCAAAAGGGGGGGAUCGGGGUUUUUUGGAACAGAUCCGAUCCGAGUUUCCAUAACCCAAUGAUAUCGAUUCAUGGCGUGGGAAUCAAUCUUUGACAACAAUGGAAUCUCAUGACUAUUCACCCUGCCGCUUUGAUCAACAUUGUGGGAAUCAACCAUGGACGGUAACAGAAUCAUGCCCAUCUACCUUAUCCCCAUUCUCUCCCUUCUCUUAUGCUCCUCGACCUCAUGGAUAGGUCCGAUCUGUAUUUCAAGCCCACCCCAUACCCACCGAGGUGGCUGUUGCUAGCUUUAGCAUUUGUCUUGGUAUUCGGAAUUGAGUUAAUCUUCCACACUUGUCGAAUCCGUCCUACUUGUGCUGCCGUCCCCUGCACUACCAUGGUGUUUUGUGCCUCCAGCUGAUUGGCUUCAUUGGCAUCAUGGACAAGCUUGAGACUAUUAACAGGUAUGCGACAAUGCACAUGAGAAUAAGCCCCUCUACUUUUACUCCUAACCACCGACCACUAUGGGUACACAUUAUAGAGCACCUAUUGCUGCAAUUUCACAGGUUUCUUGUCUGUUUCGCCGGAAUUAACUCUGAUUUUAGUUUUUGUUGUCUUGGCUAUAUAAUUAAAUACGUAAAGGAAUUGAUGCUUAGUACUUUUCAGAAAUCAAACAUAGCCUUAGUAUUUUUUUCUUUGCUUACACAAACAUAACCUUAGUGAUUUGAAAGGAAGUUAAUCACUAAAGGUUGGAUUACUAAGGAGAAUUUACGUUGUUUUAAUGUAGAGUUUCUACUUGUGUAUAUAGCCCUUAAUGAUCCUCAAGGACCAUAUAUUCUCUAUAAUGUUUGUAUAUCUUUAUUCAUGAUCGACUCAAUUAGAUUUAUAAGUAGAUGUGGGAUUCUGACACAAUCUCCUUGGCUUCAAUGUUACCACUGUGAGCUAGAGGCAAAGAGUGUGCAACCUCCCAUGUUCAAGGACUCUUGUAUGCACCCCAUCAAAGAAAAGACAAAAAUACAACAAAAGAUCAGGACUAAGACCUAACGACAAGGGUGUUUUUCUCUAGCCAAAUCUGAGGAGUCCCCUUUCAUGCAAGGCUUUGCAUUUUUACCUAACAAAAAAUUCUUUUGAGAAAUAGAAAACUUAGUUUAAUUUAAAUAUGAAAACUGUGAGUGCUUCAAGUUGAUUGACAAUUCAGGAUCAAAACUCCUACAUAUAUAUAUAUAUAUAUUCCUAGUUCAGUUCUUUCAAAAUCUCCCUCAGAUUAAUUACUUAUUCAAAGUUAAUGGUGCUUGCAAGGUUGUUAGAGGUGAAGGUAAAUGGUUUGAGGUUGUAGAUGAACAAAAUUUAACCAAUGCAGUUUUUUUUGUUCUUUCUUUUUUUUUUCUCUUCUUAUUAUGGUUACCUUGGUUAAAUUUUGUAUAACAGAUCAAGGGUGUUAGAAAGUGCCAUUUUUUAGCUUAGUCUUUUUUACUCUAUUUGUAAUUUGAUCUAACCUCAAGUUCAAUUGAUCCAUCUUAAUAAAACCUAUCCCUAUUUUGAGUUGAGAAACAUGCUUUCUAUGAAAAAGGGAGUUGAUUAAUCUUGUCAUACCAUCUCUUUUCUCAUUUUUGUCUUGGGAUUGGGAUAAAACCCUUUGUUCUUCAUUGGGCAUCAAGAAGCUGCUAAGAUCAAGCUUGUUGGUAACUUUAAGUGUAUUCCUAAUGAAGAAAGUGCAUGGUUGAAGUUGGAAGGAGUAUUCUGGGAAUCAAAGCACAAACCUGUCAAGGUCACAGGUGAUGUUUCCCAUGGCAGCAAGAGCUCAAGUAAAGAGAAUUUGAGGAAAAGUUUGAGGUGUUAGUCAUAGAGGUUGGAGUUCCAAAAUCACCUUUUACCUGUACCUGGCUCCCAAAUGUUUGAAAUUAUGCGUCUUUUUACAUCAUAUAGAAUGGGUCGUCAUCAUGCAUCCGGGAACAAUAGUGAUGCCAAGAAAGCCAGUGAGAGGGAACCAGAAACCACCAAGGCAGUACAGAGGAGAGCAGCAGAAUAAAAAUGGAAGGUGAACUCAGUUCCGAAUGCCAAGACAAAUGCUAAUAAGCUAACAGCAGCCACCUUGGUGGUUAUGGGGUGGGCUUGAAAUGCAGAGUUUGGCUUAUUCUGGAACUUAAACUCGAUGAGGUCAAGAAGCAUGGGAAGGAUAAAGGUAAGAAGGUCGAGAAUGACGUUUUGUGCAGUAGAAAUAUGAUUAUGUUGUUGUAAUGUUGUUGGGUGGAUUAUGUUGCUGUAAUGUUAUUGGAGGUUAAUUCCCAGAAUGUUCAAGGUAGCAGAGUGAAUAGCAUAGCAUGGUUGUGUUCUGGACAUUUGAUUUAUCUCUAACAUAAUUGUUUCUCAUCUCUUUGGAAAAGCAAAUGAAAGAAUAUUUGUAAAUGAA